rnacentral:rRNA from 1 species
AUUGAACGCUGGCGGCAGGCUUAACACAUGCAAGUCGAGCGGGGGAAGGUAGCUUGCUACUGGACCUAGCGGCGGACGGGUGAGUAAUGCUUAGGAAUCUGCCUAUUAGUGGGGGACAACAUCUCGAAAGGGAUGCUAAUACCGCAUACGUCCUACGGGAGAAAGCAGGGGAUCUUCGGACCUUGCGCUAAUAGAUGAGCCUAAGUCGGAUUAGCUAGUUGGUGGGGUAAAGGCCUACCAAGGCGACGAUCUGUAGCGGGUCUGAGAGGAUGAUCCGCCACACUGGGACUGAGACACGGCCCAGACUCCUACGGGAGGCAGCAGUGGGGAAUAUUGGACAAUGGGGGGAACCCUGAUCCAGCCAUGCCGCGUGUGUGAAGAAGGCCUUAUGGUUGUAAAGCACUUUAAGCGAGGAGGAGGCUACUCUAGUUAAUACCUAGGGAUAGUGGACGUUACUCGCAGAAUAAGCACCGGCUAACUCUGUGCCAGCAGCCGCCGCAG